rnacentral:rRNA from 1 species
CGGACGGGUGAGUAAUGUCUGGGAAACUGCCUGAUGGAGGGGGAUAACUACUGGAAACGGUAGCUAAUACCGCAUAACGUCGCAAGACCAAAGAGGGGGACCUUCGGGCCUCUUGCCAUCGGAUGUGCCCAGAUGGGAUUAGCUAGUAGGUGGGGUAACGGCUCACCUAGGCGACGGUCCCUAGCUGGUCUGAGAGGAUGACCAGCCACACUGGAACUGAGACACGGUCCAG